UUCUUGUAUAAUAAUUAUGUACAUUUCAUAAUUGUUAUUUUAUGUACUAAAUUUCACAUUUGCUGCAAUAUAGAAAUUGCAAGCAAGGGCUCAGCCCCCUCUAAUUUGUUCCUAUUACAAACUCAAUUGUUUGAAACCAAGAUUAUCCAAUCGUUCACAGGAAUUGAACUUAUUAAAGGUGGGUGUGGUAUACACACCCAAUAAUUUUCAUGCCAUAUUAGAUGCUUAAGUGUCAUGCCUGUACUGUGGCUAGAUCUAACUCCAUGAUUGUAUCAGGACUGAUUGCCCAUACAAAUUUUAUGGUCCUUGUCUGAUCAUCAGGACUGAUUCAGGUUGACACCAGUCCUGAUCCACAUGCCAAUAUUAGGUUGUACCAUAUGUAAUCCUUAAAGAGUUGUAAUGCAAGAAAACUUCUCUGGUGUCCAGAGCAGCAUAGAAUGUUGACUGACUCCUUACGUAAGACAUGGAUUGAUGUACUGGAACCCACUGGAGUAUAAUAUAGUUACAUGUGAUGUUAUACAUAAGUGUAGCCUCUAUAUAAUGGACACUUUGGUAGGAGAAAGUUGCUCUGUCAGAGUUUGAUGCUAUACCCAUAUACUCAAUGAAAUGGUUACAGUGUUUAUUAACAUAUGGAUACCAUGAGGGGGAGGAGCCUGACAUCACUGAUAAUGAUAUUCACUUGAUACCUCAGCUAAUUGAUAGAGUAUUGAUAUUAAAGAUUAACAGUUUUGUUGCCAGUGGAUGGGACCCCUGUCUAGUGCUCAGACCCAGUGUCUUGUAAAAUCCCUCCAGUACAUACAGGAAGAGUUUCCUACUGUCUCCCCUCAAACUGAUAAUUUCAAAGACCUCCAGAGAAGUUUAAUAAAGAGAAUACAAGAAUCAAUCAAUGAAGACAUGUACAUACCACUAAUGAAUAAAAGUCAGUUAGAAGCCACCAAUACUCAUUCAUACAGUUUCUAUCAAAGACAAUAUUGGAAAUCAAUGAAGACUCAAUGAAAUGGUUACAGUGUUUAUUAACAUAUGGAUACCAUGAGGGGGAGGAGCCUGACAUCACUGAUAAUGAUAUUCACUUGAUACCUCAGCUAAUUGAUAGAGUAUUGAUAUCAAAGAUUAACAGUUUUGUUGCCAGUGUAUGGGACCCCUUGUCUAGUUCUCAGAUCUAGUG